rnacentral:rRNA from 1 species
GACGAACGCUGGCGGCGUGCUUAACACAUGCAAGUCGAACGGAAAGGCCCUGCUUUUGUGGGGUGCUCGAGUGGCGAACGGGUGAGUAACACGUGAGUAACCUGCCCUUGACUUUGGGAUAACUUCAGGAAACUGGGGCUAAUACCGGAUAGGAGCUCCUGCUGCAUGGGUGGGGGUUGGAAAGUUUCGGCGGUUGGGGAUGGACUCGCGGCUUAUCAGCUUGUUGGUGGGGUAGUGGCUUACCAAGGCUUUGACGGGUAGCCGGCCUGAGAGGGUGACCGGCCACAUUGGGACUGAGAUACGGCCCAGACUCCUACGGGAGGCAGCAGUGGGGAAUAUUGCACAAUGGGCGGAAGCCUGAUGCAGCAACGCCGCGUGCGGGAUGACGGCCUUCGGGUUGUAAACCGCUUUCGCCUGUGACGAAGCGUGAGUGACGGUAAUGGGUAAAGAAGCACCGGCUAACUACGUG